UGGUCCUCAGCUCAGUGGUAGAGCAUUUGACUGCAGAUCAAGAGGUCACCGGUUCAAACCCGUAGGGCCCU
rfam:Brassica rapa chromosome A5, whole genome shotgun sequence.